AUUGAACGCUGGCGGCAUGCUUUACACAUGCAAGUCGAGCGGCAGCGCGGGGGCAACCCUGGCGGCGAGCGGCGAACGGGUGAGUAAUGCAUCGGAACGUAUCCUCGAGUGGGGGAUAACCCAGCGAAAGUUGGGCUAAUACCGCAUGAGCUCUGAGGAGGAAAGCGGGGGACCUGCGAGGGCCUCGCGCUGGAGGAGCGGCCGAUGUCCGAUUAGCUAGUUGGUGGGGUAAAGGCUUACCAAGGCGACGAUCGGUAGCUGGUCUGAGAGGAUGAUCAGCCACACUGGGACUGAGACACGGCCCAGACUCCUACGGGAGGCAGCAGUGGGGAAUUUUGGACAAUGGGGGCAACCCUGAUCCAGCCAUGCCGCGUGAGAGAAGAAGGCCUUCGGGUUGUAAAGCUCUUUCGGACGGAACGAAAUGGGCGGGACUAAUACUCCUGUCUGAUGACGGUACCGUAAGAAGAAGCACCGGCUAACUACGUG
rnacentral:rRNA from 1 species